rnacentral:rRNA from 1 species
UACGUAGGGUGCAAGCGUUAAUCGGAAUUACUGGGCGUAAAGCGUGCGCAGGCGGUUUUGUAAGUUUGUCGUGAAAUCCCCGGGCUCAACCUGGGAAUGGCGAUGAAGACUGCAAGGCUAGAAUCUGGCGAGAGGGGGGGUAGAAUUCCACGUGAUAGCAGUGAAAUGCGUAGAGAUGUGGAGGAACACCGAUGGCGAAGGCAGCCCCCUGGGUCAAGA